rnacentral:rRNA from 1 species
AAACUUAAAGGAAUUGACGGGGACCCGCACAAGCAGCGGAGCGUGUGGUUUAAUUCGAUGCUACACGAAGAACCUUACCAGGGUUUGACAUGCAAGUGGUAGGAAACUGAAAGGGGACCGACCCUUCGGGGAGCUUGCACAGGUGCUGCAUGGCUGUCGUCAGCUCGUGUCGUGAGAUGUUCGGUUAAGUCCGCUAACGAGCGCAACCCUCACUGUGUGUUAUAUGUGUCACACGGGACUGCCGGUUUUAAGCCGGAGGAAGGUGGGGAUGACGUCAAGUCAGCAUGGCCUUUAUAUCCUGGGCUACACACACGCUACAAUGGUCGGUACAAUAGGUUGCCAAGCCGCGAGGCGGAGCCAAUCCAUAAAAGCCGGCCUCAGUUCAGAUUGUAGGCUGCAACUCGCCUGCAUGAAGAUGGAGUUGCUAGUAACCGCAGGUCAGCAAUACUGCGGUGAAUACGUUCCCGGGUCUU